rnacentral:rRNA from 1 species
GACGAACGCUGGCGGCGUGCUUAACACAUGCAAGUCGAACGAAGUGGCGAACGGGUGAGUAACGCGUAAUCAACCUGCCCUUCAGAGGGGGACAACCGUUGGAAACGACUGCUAAUACCGCAUACUGAAGGAAGGGAUUGCGGCUGAUUAGCUAGUUGGAGGGGUAACGGCCCACCAAGGAGAUGAUCAGUAGCCGGGCUGAGAGGAUGCACGGACACAUUGGGACUGAGACACGGCCCAGACUCCUACGGGAGGCAGCAGUGGGGAAUCGUCCGCAAUGGACGAAAGUCUGACGGAGCAACGCCGCGUGAGUGAUGACGGCCUUCGGGUUGUAAAGCUCUGUUAAGCGGGACGCGGUACCGGAAUAGAAAGCCACGGCUAACUACGUGCCAGCAGCCGCGGUAAUAC